rnacentral:lncRNA from 1 species
AGGGAAUCCAGUCGAGAGAAAUAUCAGUCAUUUAAUAAAUACAGGACGGUUCGUAUUAUAACUCAGUACACAUUACAGCAGUGAAUAUGCACACACGAAAUGUUUAUGAUAUAUUAUUUAAAUGGUCAAAUAUGAGGGGUUCAUGAAUAAUUAUUUGAAGAUAGAUUAACGAGGUGGCAAAGACAUGUUUUGAAACUCUGUAGUGGUGUGUUUUUUGCUUCUUCACCCCGCCCACUCCGGAAAAAUCAGCCGUUGUUAUUUGAUUUUUUUAAGAUUAAUCCCAGCAGGACAUUGCUGAGGACUCGAGUAAGUAUUAUUGGGCCUGGAAUCAGAGGAAUCCAGCGGACAGACAGUUGGGUCAAGUUGUCUGGAUGUCAUUUGGGUGGUGGACCAUUCUUGAUACACACAGGAAACUGUUGAGCGUGGAAAAACCCAGUUGCGUUGCCAUUCUUGACACAAACUGGUGCGCCUGGCACCUACUACCAUACCCCGUUCAAAGG